CAGUAACAAAAGCGAUUCAUUUUUCCUAAGAGUGGUUACAGCUUCAAAUAAAAUGUUUCGAUACAAAAUAUGUUCACAAGCAACACUUUUUUUUUAGAAAAAUAUUUAUCUCGAUUUAAGGUAAUGGUAUUAAAGAAAAAUUAAUUUUAAUUCGAAAAUUAUCUUUUCUAACACAAGUAUUUAUAUCACAAAUGAUUAUAUUUUCUAAUCUAUAAAUCUUUUAAAACAAUCUAAUCAAAAUUGUAUUGCAUUAUUGUAUACAUAUUUCGCGCGGUAUGAUGUCUGUAAUAAAAUUUUCGACUUAGGAUUGUGUCGUACAUGGCAGUACAUUCCAAUAUUGUGUCUGAAUUAUUUACGUAUUAUUUACGCUGUUUAUACUUUUUCAUGCAGACAAUGUAAAUUAUUAUAAAUUGGAUAGCAUAAUACAGAAAAAAGGAAUAAAAUAAAAAUUGAAAGAUUGUUGAUAUAUCUGACUUUGCUAUACUAAUAAAAUAAAAAUAUAUAUAAUAUUAAAAAUGUUUUUUAAUAUAUAAUUUUCACUAUUUCUGGUGGAAUGUGAAUCCAUAGGCUAUUGUUUAUAUAAAUGAUAAAACAGUUAAACAAAGUUUAGAUUGUAUACAUAUAAUGUUAAUUAUUCAUUUUUUAACCGUUAUAAAUAACCAACGUUUAAAUAACCAACUCUGCUUCUCUUCAAAACGAAAUAAAUUUGCCUAUUCUAAGCCGAUAUGUAAGUUAUCUGCAAUAUCUUCUAGUAAUUUUCUACUUUCGUCGGGAGAGGUCAGUGUCAGACUUACAUUUCAAGAGUAACAGUGUUGUCUGAUACACAGCGAUGUAAAUGUGUGUUAAUUGUAUAUAAUUUUAUCCUCAUUAAUUUAUAAAAAACUUACUAGAUCUCUGCCUGCUAGAUUCGUGACUUGCAAGGGCUCCACCGUGUACUCGUCUUUGUAAUGCACCUGGGACAACACCGAGACCGUCAAACUGGCGAUAUUAGAUAUUUGUUGACCGAAAACGCGACGCGUCAAUGCCGCAGCAGACAUCUUGGAUUAGAUAGCGCAUUGAGCUUUCCAGUGGCGCCAUCUUUGGACUCGUCUCUCGCCAAACUUAACCGAUAUUACCCCAUCAGAAAACUGUAGGUAUCUACAAUUUGGCGAUUCUCUUCCGUACUAAAUCAGAAGGAUCAGCUGAGUGAGGUGAGUUAUUUAAACAAACAUUAUUCAGACUUCUCUCUGCUGAUAUUACCUCAUCGUUGGAAAGUAAAAUAGGUAUUGCUUAAUAAAAUAAGUCAACAACUAAGCUUCAAGAAUGGUCAAAAGAGUUCACCGCUUAUUUGAAGUUUGUAUAUUGUAUGUAUAUAUACAUUUUCAUUUAUAACGCACCCUGUAAUUAUGCUCUUUUAAGAUUUUUAUGAUAUUAUUUUUUUUAAAAAGUAUCCAAUAUUUCCGUACAUAUUUAAUCAUAUCGGAUGUAACACAUGAUGCAUUCUCUUUAACUGCACUUUUGCUGAAUAAGAAAAAAA